CGUGCAGCCGGGUCUGCAAGUCAGAUGUGAAAUCCAUGGGCUCAACCCAUGAACUGCAUUUGAAACUGUGGAUCUUGAGUGUCGGAGGGGCAAUCGGAAUUCCUAGUGUAGCGGUGAAAUGCGUAGAUAUUAGGAGGAACACCAGUGGCGAAGGCGGAUUGCUGGACGAUAACUGACGGUGAGGCGCGAAAGUGUGGGGAGCAAACA
rnacentral:rRNA from 1 species